rnacentral:rRNA from 1 species
CUACGGGUUGCUGCAGUGGGGAAUAUUGCGCAAUGGAGGAAACUCUGAUGCAGCAACGCCGCGUGGAGGAUGACACUUUUCGGAGCGUAAACUCCUUUUAUAUAGGAAGAAGAUGACGGUACUAUAUGAAUAAGCGCCGGCUAACUCCGUGCCAGCAGCCGCGGUAAUACGGAGGGCGCAAGCGUUACUCGGAAUCACUGGGCGUAAAGAGCGUGUAGGCGGAUUAAAAAGUCAGAAGUGAAAUCCUAUAGCUUAACUAUAGAACUGCUUCUGAAACUCUUAAUCUAGAAUAUGGGAGAGGUAGAUGGAAUUUCUGGUGUAGGGGUAAUAUCCGUAGAGAUCAGAAGGAAUACCGAUUGCGAAGGCGAUCUACUAGAACAUUAUUGACGCUGAGACGCGAAAGCGUGGGGAGCAAACAGGAUUAGAUACCCCCGUAGUC